rnacentral:lncRNA from 1 species
GUUACCGGUCUUGGUCUCGUUUGAUGAAUUUAUUAGAUACAGAACAUGGAGCUCUCCGAAAUUGUAAAGAUACAUGUGUGUAUAUAAUUUCUCCCCAGCUCAAAAUCCGGAGCCUUGGAUUUUUAGAAUUUCUGGCUCUGCUUUGGAAUACGUAUUAUUGAGUACAUAGGGCAAAGUUAAUUACACAGAUUCUUAUUAUCUUGUUCGUGAGAUUGUCGGACUCAGUUCCCAGCAAUGGUGUUCCUAAUUGUUCCUCUGAUUUACUAAGUUUGGAAAGAAGCAUCUUUUUCGUUCUUCCAUUCUUCAAUAUUUCCCUCAUUUCAUUUCUCUAGAAACAGAAGACGAUAAUAUAUGUGUCUCUUACUGGGAGGCCAUGUAACCCUCCUCUUCGACUCAUGGGCCACCUAUUCAUGGUCGAGUCACGCUGUCGUGUUACUCGUGGGCCUUCUCGGCACCGUAUUUUACUAACCCCUUGAAGCUUUGCGCAUCCGUCUCAAGUCUUCGGUCAAUACACCUCCGCCGUCGCCCGGUGUUUCCUUGAGGCUGGGGCCGACGGUAUUCUUCAAAACGAGCUCAACGAUUGAUUACCUGAUGGGUAGCUACAUGAUGCACGGAGGUUCAGAAUCCAAAAUUGGUUGACCGAAAUGGAAGCCUUCAGUGUAGAGAAACUAUUCGAUAAAAGGUCCCAAAGAGCAAACUCUUGGCUGGAUACUUUGGCAUCCAUACACCCAGC